UACGGGGGGGGCGAGCGUUGUCCGGAAUCAUUGGGCGUAAAGAGCGUGUAGGCGGUCCGGUAAGUCCGCUGUGAAAGUCGGGGGCUCAACCCUCGAAUGCCGGUGGAUACUGUCGGGCUAGAGUGCGGAAGAGGCGAGUGGAAUUCCUGGUGUAGCGGUGAAAUGCGCAGAUAUCAGGAGGAACACCUAUUGCGAAGGCAGCUCGCUGGGACGUAACUGACGCUGAGACGCGAAAGCGUGGGGAGCAAACAGG
rnacentral:rRNA from 1 species